GGUUAAGCGACUAAGCGUACACGGUGGAUGCCUAGGCAAUCAGAGGCGAUGAAGGACGUGCUAAUCUGCGAUAAGCGUCGGUAAGGUGAUAUGAACCGUGAUAACCGACGAUUUCCGAAUGGGGAAACCCAGUGCAAUCCGUUGCACUAUCGUUUGAUGAAUACAUAGUCAAACGAAGCGAACCGGGGGAACUGAAACAUCUCAGUACCCCGAGGAAAAGAAAUCAACCGAGAUUCCCCUAGUAGCGGCGAGCGAACGGGGAGCAG
rnacentral:rRNA from 1 species